UACGGAGGAUGCAAGCGUUAUCCGGAAUGAUUGGGCGUAAAGCGUCCGCAGGUGGCUAUGUAAGUCUGCUGUUAAAGAGUCUAGCUCAACUAGAUAAGAGCAGUGGAAACUACAAGGCUAGAGUACGUUCGGGGCAGAGGGAAUUCCUGGUGUAGCGGUGAAAUGCGUAGAGAUCAGGAAGAACACCAGUGGCGAAGGCGGCUCUCUGGGACGGUACUGACGCUGAGACGCGAAAGCGUGGGGAGCGAACAGG
rnacentral:rRNA from 1 species